rnacentral:lncRNA from 1 species
CAAGGAGCAAACAUCAAACAAUAUAGUCAGUUAUGAUAGACCUCGACAUGACAAAAUGAGAAAAAAUAAGAAUAGAAAUAUAUGGCUUAAUUUAUAUGCUACAAGACAAAAUUGCUAAAGUUAAGGUAAACACAAAUUUGACAGAGAGCAACCAACAACUAAAUUACAGAGUCCUGACGUAGGACAGGUGUAGAAAAAUAUGACGG